rnacentral:rRNA from 1 species
CCUACGGGUGACAGCAGUGAGGAAUAUUGGUCAAUGGGCGCGAGCCUGAACCAGCCAAGUCGCGUGAGGGAAGACGGUCCUAUGGAUUGUAAACAUCUUUUGUCGGGGAGCAAAAGACGCCACGUGUGGCGUUCCGAGAGUACCCGAAGAACAAGCAUCGGCUAACUCCGUGCCAGCAGCCGCGGUAAUACGGGGGAUGCGAGCGUUAUCCGGAUUUAUUGGGUUUAAAGGGUGCGCAGGCGGAAAGUCAAGUCAGCGGUAAAAUUGAGGGGCUCAACCUCUUCCAGCAGUUGAAACUGGUUAUCUUGAGUGAGCGAGAGGUAUGCGGAAUGCGUGGUGUAGCGGUGAAAUGCAUAGAUAUCACGAAGAACUCCGAUUGCGAAGGCAGCAUACCGGCGCUCAACUGACGCUCAUGCACGAAAGUGUGGGGAUCGAACAGGAUUAGAUACCCUAGUAGUC